rnacentral:rRNA from 1 species
AUUGAACGCUAGCGGGAUGCUUUACACAUGCAAGUCGAACGAGUUGCGGACGGGUGAGUAAUAUAUCGGAAGUGCCCAGUAGCGGGGGAUAACUACUGGAAACGGUAGCUAAUACCGCAUACUAUCGGAUAACCCAUAUGGGAUUAGCUAGUAGGUGAGGUAAUGGCUCACCUAGGCGGCGAUCCCUAGCUGGUCUGAGAGGAUGAUCAUCCACACUGGGCCUGAGACCCGGCCCAGACUCCUACGGAGGCAGCAGUGGGGAAUAUUGCACAAUGGGGGCAAGCCUGAUGCAGCCAUGCCGCGUGUAUGAAGAAGGCCCUAGGGUUGUAAAGUACUUUCAGUCGGGAGGCGUUACCUACAGAAGAAGCACCGGCUAACUCCGUGCCAGCCGCCGCGGUAAUUC